rnacentral:tRNA from 1 species
GCCAGCGUGGCUCAAUGGAUAGAGCAUUGGCCUUCAGACUGAAGGAUCGCAGGUUCGAUUCCGCUCACAGGCA